rnacentral:sRNA from 1 species
GAUCCCCGGACGCGCGGCCCCCCCACCCGCGGCCCCGCGCGCCUCUCCCUGACACCACCCUCCGCGGCCCCCUCCGGACCCUCUGGCCCCCAAGACGCCCCUCCGGCCCUCCCCUAGGAGAGGGGGCCCUCGCCAAGUCUCCGCCUUCCUGCCCUCCUCCUGUCAAUGCCGCUGUCCAGAGCUCGCAGCCCUGGGAACGCCACUCCAGCGGGGCCUCCUUCUCCUGGGACCCCCUGGGCCCCACCCCCAGGACCUCCCACCUCUGCAAACCCCGAGUUUGCUUUUCCCAUCCACCGGGCAGCUCUUCUCCACGCCCACCUGGCUGGACCCGGGAAACCGAAGAAGUUAGUGGGGGUUCACCAGUAGGAAUCGGUAUGAGGGAGAGCCUGGAGGAGGAAAUGGGGAAAGGGGAAAUGUUCAGAAGGAAUGGAGGACAGCGAGCAGGGUAUUCGGGGAUGGAGGACCAAGUGUGUUUCUUUGGGAAGUGCUGGCAUGUAGGGGUGUGUGCUGUGUACCUGUGUGAAGGAUGUACGCAGAAUGUAGAGUAUGGGGUACGUGAGGGUGGUGUGUACGUAUGUGUCCUGUGGCGGGGAGCGGUGUGCAUUCCGAGAUGUGCGCAGGGUGAACACAGUGUACGUGCAAUGUCCAGGCGUGUGGUGUGCAAGUGUGUGUCUGUGUGUUAUGUGGUGAAUGUGCAGGAAAGGUGUCGCCUUGAGGUGUGGGUAGAGUAUUGUAGGUGCUGGGGGGUUAUGAAUAGGGUAUGCGGGAGAACUGGCUAGAGAUUUCUCUCAGAGGACCAGCCAUGGAGAAGGCCAGGAUGAAGUCUUGGGGAGAACCUCGGGUGAGUUCAGCUCUGAGUCCAUUUCCGUUUUCAGAUCUGGCAGACAAAUCCCUCACACUCAGGUAAAUAAAUUCGGCCUGUGCUCGAGUGCACGAGAAGGGAGAACGUUGUAGUAGCCCAGAUCUGGACUUGGACCACUGGAGGCCUCCCUCUGGCAACCCCGCCCUGGCCUGCAGUCCGGGGUGUGGGUGAUUCAGGCCGCCUGCGCAGCAGCUUCGGAACCGCGGGUUGCCUUGGCUGCGCCUUUAGCUGGGGCUGGGAGAAGCCGGGUCCGAGAGUCGGGAAGAGGGAGAGGUGGAGAGAAUGCGCCUGCGCACGAGUCUUUCCCACAGCAGGUUCAAGUCAGGAAAAGGCCUAGGGACUUUCCUAUUUUUUGCCCUUUAAAGUCAGAGACCCUUCCAAAACUGAGCGCUGUAUUGCCUGGGGAAGCCGCGCCUAUGUGUCCGAGGCAGCUCUGGGGUUCUUGCCCACCCUUCCGGGAAGCCGAUUGCUAGUGGGUGUAUGGAGGCUUUCCAAAGACUCCCGGAGGUUUGCGUGGGUUUCACUUCGGGCCAUAGCUUCAGAAAGAGCGAGCCUGCCUCUCUGUAUUUUUAGCAGGAGGAGCAGAAUUUGAAACAGCAGCAUACCGGUCCUGCGCCUGGUGAAGGAUGACUCGCCAGAAAGCAAAGGCACAGCCCUACCUCCGCGAGCUUGGCGCGUGGCCCAGGAGGCUCCGCGAGCCCUCGUACGUAAGGAUCGCGGCGCCCACGCUUGAGAGCAGAGCUCAGUGCAAACUUCCAACGGUUCUUCCAGUUUCCAGGGAAACGAGAUCUGGAGCUGCUGUGCGUUGCAGAGCUGCCUCUCUGCAACCCACAUGGGACCCCUGUGGCUGGCUGGUCUUGGGGAAGAAGGAGUUGAAGCCACCACAUCCAUGAAGGUUUUGUCUGGAGCCUGUCUGAUCCGAUGCAUUCAGUACUGAAAGCUUUCAGGAACAUUCUUUUACUCACUUCUCAGGACAACCGGUGAGGUAGGUCCCCUGUUAUCCCCAGUAGGACUUUUCAUUAGUAAAUUAGUGACUGGAAUUGGGACAGAAACCCACACUCUGUGACCAGGCUAUGCUCCCCCCACCCCCGAUGCCUUCCUGAUUCCAACCCCUGCAGAGGAUCCUCAAGGUGCAGGAUUUCCCUGGAGUACAAAUAGGUCUUUUCUAUCAGGUCGGAUUGGAAAUGGCCAGGUCAGGAGAAUUCCAACUAUUUCUGGGGCUAGCUGAGUAUGUACGUGUCUGUGGUGCCAAAAAAAAAAAUAAAUAAAAAUCUAGUUCUUUGGAGAGUAUGGUGGCAGGAGCCUGCAAACACGGAGAGGGGAACUCACUGAGAAGGGUCUUUAAGCCGAAGCAAUUCAAUUUUAUUCUGAGGGCAGGAACACAGAGAUUUCAGGCGAGCAUCCUGGCGUGUGCUGAGAAGGAGCUCUGCUGCCUGGGAUCUAGGGGAGCGAAAGGAGCUUUCUCUCUGCUUGCAGUGUAAAAUCCCAGGUACAGGGAAUCACCCUGCAGCUUCUGCUCAGCAGUCUUUCUAAAAGGACUGGGAGUUAGCGGAGAGUGGGAGGGGCAAUCUGUGGUCCCGCGACAGCGAAACCGGGGAUGACAUUGAAGCUAACCCAGGUAGGAUUUUAGAGCAGAUUGAAUUGCUUUAUUUCAGGAUCCUUUCACCGAGGAAGAGCUCAUCAUGCUCUGUUGUGAGCCAUCCUCAACUUCCACUUGCAGAGUCUGCUUAACCUUCCAUGCAUGCCAAGGAGGGGACCCAGGGUAGCUGCGGUCUAGUCACGUGACCUGGAGGGUCAGAGGCAGGAAGGAGAGCAACUCCAGAAAGAACCACACCGGUGAGGGAUAACUUUGCCACUUUUCCAGGAAAAUGACAUCAUUAACUACUGUUCAAGUUCCUACAGAGGUCUGGCGGCCUUCUGGGGGCAGGUAUCACUCUCCCACACCAUCACCUUUUAAAUAUUUUAUUAACAUAUGUCUUAGUCUACCUUCUUUUACUGUAACUGAAUAACAUUUACAAAGAACAAUGGUUUAUUUAGCUAACACUUCAGAAGUGCUUGCAACUGUGAAGCCCUUGUGCUGUGUAUAGUAUGGUGUAAGGAAUGACUUGGCAAGACAGAGCAGCCAAAGAGCUUCUUCCACAACAAAACCGCUCAACCAAUUAUAUCCCAAAGGUUCCACCAAACACCAUGAGCAUAUGACUUUGGGGGUCACGUUUCUCGCCUGUGGAUUCUGGGGACAAGCGUUCAUGCAUCACAAGUAGCCAAAUAGUUGAAAUGUUCAUUGUUAAGCCUCACCCCCUCCCGACCCCCCUUUUUUUCCUAGGAACAGCCACGUUAAUCUGUUACUUCACACAGGCAGUGCAGGCAUCCUCUGUGCAAAACACCCAACGGUGAAUCUUCCAAAGAAUUCAUGAAACCGUAGCCGAGUUCUCAGAGACACAACAGUGUUUCUUACUAUGUUCAAAGUCUUAUAGAAUGUAACACAGAAAAUAUUAAAUAUACAAUGUGCUAUCUUCAUGGCAUAGAAACAAGCAUUUAUCUAACUUACGAAAGACAGAAGUGCCCGAGACACGGCCCAGGACCUGUCAGCCAACCAGAGCUUCUUCCUGCACUUGCUUAGGCAUUUGUAGAAGGAAUCUAUCCCAGCCGCUACAGCUGGUCUGGUUUGUUUUCUUUUGUUUGUUCAUUUGUUUUUAUUUUACAGAGAGUCAGAGAGCAUGAUUCUCCCUACCUGGCUUCUUUUGUUCCAUAAAUAAUGUUUGUGGAGCGUGUCCACGAUGCUGCGCACAGCCCUGGCUCACUCAUGGCUGGUAAUGAAACCCUGCAGCUGACCAGUUUCACUGCAUGAAUAGAAGCGUGACUGGAAAUGUGGCGUACGUUGGCCCUGUGGAUUCUCCUGUAAUAGCCCAAGCACAUAUUAUACCUCUUUCAGCUGAUCCCUCGAAAACUCAUCACUACUCAACCUGGUCUCCUCUGGAGUCUAAAUGAAGCACUUAAUGGGAAUCCACCUAAGCCUCCUCUGGCUUCUGUUUAUGACAGUAAAGAGUCCAGGUAAGUCAUGUCAGGGGUAGACAGAGCUGCCAGCUGCCCAUGUCUUAGCGAGAUCAGUGAGCUAUAUCUCCCAAGAGAGAAUUGUCAUUCUGCCUCUCUGCCAUGAGGACACUGCUGGACCACCUCUGCAGGAGCUUGCACUGAUGCUGUGCUAGAAAGAACAAAGACCCUUCUCUGCUUUGGUUUCCUUUAGAAAUGGUUCUGGCUCUGUCUCCCACAUACUCCAGCCUCCCACCACUCCAACUGGGGUGAACUUUCCUUCUACCUGUGGAACACAUCAAAUGGAGUUCUUGUGUUUCCUGUGUUCAUUUUCUCGUCUGAAAUCAUGCUGUUGCUGCUGUCUACCACACUAUGUCCUUGUAUUCCUAGACCUCCAAAACCAGGGCUGGACAGUCCAGGUGGAGCCUUUCUUCCUUAGCAGACGUAAGUAGACACAACCAUCCUGUAGGGCGAACAAGAGCUUGGUGGCUGGACAACCACUUCAGAUUUUCAAAUACACCCUCACAGAGAUGCUCAGGGAUGCUCACUGAAGUUUCAUCUGAGGCAGGGAGUCACAAGAAAGCAGAGAAGGAUGACCCCUGCCAAAACCAUGUUAGAGCAAAGGUGGCAGGGUCUCCCUUCCCUUGAAAUAACUCAAAUGCUGGACAGAGGACAGAAAGCAUGGUUUUCAAAUGCUAAUCAUGAAACAAGGCAAGACUGUGACAGAGAAUCAAAGAAAGCCUCCAGUGCCUCGUGUAACAGCUUAAGAGUUGCCAGCAAUGGUGCCAGCCGAGGAGCCCAGGCAGACUCAAAGAACUUCCCUGGGUUUAAGAGACAUGCUUGUGCUCAAGGGACCAAACUAAAUGUAUACAGGUUUGAUUUUUGUCAAUUAUGCUUCAAUAUAACUAUAAAAACUGGGGUAAAAGCACACUGUAAAAUACUGUCAAUCAGAAGUAACAAAGCUGUAUCUAAUACAUAACUCUAAGUGAGUAAAGAAUCAAUAUUGUCCAACCA